rnacentral:piRNA from 1 species
UCCCUAUUUAGUGUAAUGUUGGCUGUAAGU